UACGUAGGGUGCAAGCGUUGUCCGGAAUUAUUGGGCGUAAAGAGCUCGUAGGCGGUCUGUUGCGUCGGCUGUGAAAACCCGGGGCUCAACCCGGGCCUGCAGCCGAUACGGGCAGACUAGAGUUCGGCAGGGGAGACUGGAAUUCCUGGUGUAGCGGUGAAGUGCGCAGAUAUCAGGAGGAACACCGGUGGCGAAGGCGGGUCUCUGGGCCGAUACUGACGUGAGGAGCGAAAGCGUGGGGAGCGAACAG
rnacentral:rRNA from 1 species